UACGUAGGGUGCGAGCGUUGUCCGGAAUUAUUGGGCGUAAAGGGCUCGUAGGCGGUUUGUCGCGUCGGGAGUGAAAACCAGGUGCUUAACACCUGGCUUGCUUUCGAUACGGGCAGACUAGAGGUAUGCAGGGGAGAACGGAAUUCCUGGUGUAGCGGUGAAAUGCGCAGAUAUCAGGAGGAACACCGGUGGCGAAGGCGGUUCUCUGGGCAUGACCUGACGCUGAGGAGCGAAAGUGUGGGGAGCGAAC
rnacentral:rRNA from 1 species